AUUGAACGCUGGCGGAAUGCUUUACACAUGCAAGUCGAACGGUAGAGGGGGCAACCCCUCGAGAGUGGCGAACGGGCGAGUAAUAUAUCGGAACGUGCCCAGUCGUGGGGGAUAACGUAGCGAAAGUUACGCUAAUACCGCAUACGAUCUACGGAUGAAAGCGGGGGAUCGCAAGACCUCGCGCGAUUGGAGCGGCCGAUAUCAGAUUAGGUAGUUGGUGGGGGAAAGGCUCACCAAGCCAACGAUCUGUAGCUGGUCUGAGAGGACGACCAGCCACACGGGAACUGAGACACGGUCCAGACUCCUACGGGAGGCAGCAGUGGGGAAUUUUGGACAAUGGACGCAAGUCUGAUCCAGCCAUUCCGCGUGCAGGAUGAAGGCCCUCGGGUUGUAAACUGCUUUUGUACGGAACGAAAAGGUUUCCAUUAAUACUGGGAGCUCAUGACGGUACCGUAAGAAUAAGCACCGGCUAACUACGUGCCAGCCGCCGCCGUAA
rnacentral:rRNA from 1 species